GAAAUGCGAUAAGUAAUGUGAAUUGCAGAAUUCAGUGAAUCAUCGAAUCUUUGAACGCACCUUGCGCCCUUUGGUAUUCCGAAGGGCAUGCCUGUUUGAGUGUCAUGAAACCUCACCCCACUUGGGUUUUUGCCCGAGCGGUGGUGGAUUGGGUGUUUGCCGUCACUGGCUCACCUUAAAAGCAUAAGCAACUUUGGAUGUAAUACGUUUCAUCCUUCUAAGUGGCUGAUAACCCCACAUAUCUCAUGAUCUGGCCUCAAAUCAGGUAGGGCUACCCGCUGAACUUAA
rnacentral:misc_RNA from 1 species